CACAGACUGCCGUAGGAAUGGUGAAUGGCAUUUGGUAGUCACAUAAACCAGUUGCUGCUGGAAGAACAGAUUCAAGGUCUAGUUUGAGUUUUGUUGUGAAGCACUGGAUUCAUUCAUACUUCAAAGGGAAAUUGAAGGCAUCAGAGCCCACAUAGACAGAAAACAAAGGCACUGUUUACAAGGCGGAAACUUGCUGAGAGAAGCAGCUGAGUUCUGCAACGCUCACCCACUGACUGCCCCCUUGGAGGGUCAGAAGAGACUCUGGCAUGGGAAGGCACAGGCAAGCUGGCUGUUUCACACACAGAACUGCACUUUCCAAGCCAAGCGUGGAAAGCCAUGGCAUAUUCAAAACCCAUCUUCUCUCCAUCUGGCAGAGCAGGAGCUCAGUAUCCUUCCUAUCUUGUAGUUUCACCAGCCACCAGCCUUUUUCCUUUAGCUGAGAAUUAUUAAUUAUUGUUAGAGUUUUGCUUUUGUGUGUUUGUUUUUGAAAUGUUUUUGCUUGCAUGCCAGGCUGCAUACAACACACCCAGUAUUCUGGAAAUACAGCUGAGUCAACCAACCUAGCGCUUCCCUUUGCUACACUAACCUCGUUCUUCAUAGCUGACAUAAAAAAGAGGGGAUAAGUAUUUUAAAUGACACUCAUCUCACAGCCUCCAUACAGUAUUAACAUUUUUUCUUCAUUCUGGAUAAAUGUUUUGACAAUUAAGUGAAAAAACACACGAAAAUCAUAACCUUGUUGUUCCACAACUACAGAGUGCCUUGGACUGCAGAAGUGCAGAGGACUUCCAGUCCUUCAGUCCUUUGCAAAACUUGGAAGAGCCCCUUGUGAGUCAGAAAUUCUGGUUAGUAAGGCCAGGUUAGUAUCAAUAAUAACAAAAAGCCCAGCUCUGAUCACCACUCAGAGGAAGCAAACUCAAAGAACUGUAAGGAUUUUGUUUGUACUAUCAGUGCCAUAAAUGAGAACAAAGUGGAGGGCACAUAGCUGCUUGUUCUGGAGAGCCUUUAGAAAUCUGUUGCUAGUGUUUAUUACACCAGAUAUAUAAUAAUGCCUUUCCUAUUAGGCUCGAUUUUCUCCACACUUGGAAACACAAAACAGAGUGUUUAAACUCAAAUAAAUAGUUCCCUUUAAAAAUGUGGGGGCAAUAAUUCGGAUUACCGGAUAAUUGCUUUAUUCUAAGAAACGCAUAUUUAAGUCCAGUCCACAGAAUAUAAUUCCUAAGAAAUAUGUUGGACAACAGCACAAACCACGCCUGGGGCUGGUGACUGUUCACACUGAGAAGGGCACGGCUUGCCUGUGCCUUCUUUGGGAGAGCUGAUUACUGUUUGCAGUGAUGGGGAUGUUGUGCUGGCUUCAUUGUGCUAGGUCAGUGAGCAAGAAGAUUUGAGGCUUAUUCAGAGUUUUCACUUUCAUUGGAAGCAAGAUGCUACAAACAGUUAUGAGGAGCAAAUACAACAAAUGAUGAAGAGGAAUAAAUGUUAUUUCUAGAAAAAACUGUAAGCUAACAAAAUAGCUUUUUCACAGUUUAAUGAUUCUAAAAUAAUCUGAAAGGUUUUAACAAAAAUCGCCACCUUUGAUCACAGAACCCCUGCUGUCCCUGUAUGUGACUUCUCCUGGUAUCACAGCAGACAUUUCUUUAAGGAGAUAUUCAGAGAAGAAGAGCAUUUCACAUGUUCAUUAAACUAAGGCACUUGAAAAGCUAUGGAGUGAAAAGAGAUGCAUGUGAAGAUGAUGCACUGCAAGCUACAACAACUGGUGUAAGGAGAAGAGCAAGGGGGCAACACAGCAUUUUCAACUCUCUUGCUUCGUGAAUUAGGUUCUGUAGCUGGGAGGGAGAACCCAAGCAGAGCUUGACUUACCCUCACUAGGAGACUGCUGCUGGACACAAAGGGGAGCAGCAGGCUGCUGGAGCAGUGGCACCCUGGGCCAGCACCUCAACAGCUGGAUGUGCAGCUCCACUUCAGAGAUAGACACACUCAGAGAAAGCAAAAAGAGGAAACUGGUUUUUGUUUCAUCAGGAAAAAGUAAUUGAUAUUGUGGGAUUGUUAAGGGAAAGCUGAAGAAAUCAAAUCCUACCACAUCAAUAUUCCUGUGGAUGUCUAAAAAAAGCUUCCAAAAGCUUCAGGCCUACUUCACUCUAUCCCGUGUUACAAUCCCAAGAGCCUGACAAUUAAGAAGCCUCUUUUCAUUCCUCAGCAAUAGAACUGUUCCUGGCCAGAGUGCCAUGGGAAGAGCAGGAACAGAAGUGUGGCUCUGUGGAACCUUUGCCCCUCUGUGGCAGAGGACAGGGUAGGGGCACGUGUUCCCUCUUCUAUCCAAAACAUGGAUGCAAACUCUCGUUCUCUCUUUUCAAAUGUACACCCAAAUCUUGCUCCAUAUGCAUACCUAAAGCUACAUAGGUAAUCUCAGGUAGGUAUUAUAAGUAUUUUUUGCUAAUCAUGGAUGAUAUUCAAAAUUCUCGUUGCAUCAGGAGUUCGACUUCCUGCAAUCAUUUCUUCUGUGAUCUUUUACAGACUUUUACAUUAAACCCCAUGCUUUCUGUAACACUUGAAAUAAAUCCCAUGUGAAUCUGUUUUUCUUAAGAUCAAGUUACUGCUUUCUAUUAGGUAAAGAAAAUGAAAAAAUAUCAAAUUGUUUGAAUCUCCUCAGUGAAUACAGCAUAUACUGAGAAAAUAUGAAGUCAUACAUUGACUCUCCUCCCAAAUUCUAUUACUUGGCUAAAAAAUCUGGCAAUAAAUAUCUCAGUUAUCCUAUAUAUAAAUACAUAAAAUCCAUGUUUAACAAAGUUGCAUUUAUAACACUUACCAUGGCUAAUAAACAUUUUAAUUAUUGAUUUCAGCUGAAAAAUUCCUGAGGCUGAGCAUAAACAAAAGAAGUAAGUAUCUGCCUCAUGGUUAAUGCUUUUAUUCAAGUGUGGAGGUAAAGCUAUAGAUCCAAGAGAUGGAAAAAGCAAUUUGCUAUUCUCACUCAUAUUUAGAACCCUGUUAGUAGAUUUGUGGAAAAAAAAAGUCAUAUACUUCAAAAAAACUGGCCAUGAAUUAAUGUGUAUAGAUUUUAUUGCAUUUUCCAGCUCUCUCUAUUUUUAUUCUUUAUUCUUUCUAAUAGUCUAAAAACCCUCUAGAAUUAUAGUUUUCUCCCUACAGAUGCUGUCUUAUUCUAUUAAACAAACAUCGAUCCCUUGCUUUUUCCCUUCUUUGUUCCCCCCCCAUUUAGUUUCAAAUGGAUGUCAAAUUAUCUCAGAUAUUUUGUGUUUAACAUCAACAACUUCAUUUCACAUGGGUCUAAUAUGGAGUCCAUAAUAAUAAUCAUUACACUGCUGUAUAUUACAAAAGGCUUAAUUUUUUUCAUUGCAUAAUGUUUCCUUUCCUAUUGAUUUUGGGCUAGACUUGAGAAGCACAGCUUGCUGUCCAUCAUGGGCAGCCCUGCAGGGAGCUCCAACUGGCUCAGUGGGAAGUAUCAGGGAGGAGGGAGAGCUGAUGAUCUGCUCCUCAGGACUAUACCCAGCACACAUAACCCUUCCCUGUGUACAGACCUGCUGGGCUGUUAAGAACAUUAGCAGAGAGCAGACAAACAUGUACUGAUGGCUCUGCUAGCCUGACCAAAGGUACUGUCACCAACAGAUAGGGGCACACGAAACUUCCAGUUGUUCCAGAGGGUCUGGAGCAUACUGGGUUCAUGCAGCACGGUUCACUUUCUUUGGCCAUCGUGCUUGUGUUCUGUGUUUGGCAAAGAGCUUGUGCUGAAACUCAGUAAGAACAGCAGGAGCUGGCCCCAGCCAGGAGUGUGUGAGUCUUCCCAAAUCCACCAGCACCAGCACUGGGACAGCUGUGUGGGGCAUAUCUAUCCAGAUUAGGAAUCAAUAGAAAACCUGAUGUGGGGUGCCCCCAGAUACACAUGU